rnacentral:sRNA from 1 species
UUUUAGCCCUGAUUGUAGUGGAAAUGACUUUAGCAAAGUUCAAACUUUGAUAAAGUUAUUGCAACGGAAAGCAGGAAAAUGG